UCCCUGGUGGUCCAGUGGCUAAGACUCUGUGCUGCCAAUAGGGAGGCACAGGUUCGAUCCCUGGUCAGGGAA
rnacentral:tRNA from 1 species